GCUGUUUUUGGAGGGGUCUCAUAUUUUCAUUCGUCCCGGGGUUUUUGCUUUGUUGUCACUCGUCACAAUCAUCCAAAUUUCUCAAGCCAUAGAGAGAGGUAGAGAGGGAGAGGAUGGAGAACCAUAACCAGAUGGAGAGGGACGAGGCGGGGCCCAUGGCGGUGGAGGCGGCGGAGGAGGAGGAGAACGGGCAGGUGGGGUCCAGCCUGACCCUGGAGAGGGUGGCUGCGGCAAAGCAGUUCAUAGAGAGCCACUACAAGGCUCAGAUGAAGCACAUCCAGGAUCGUAAACAGAGGCGCUCGGUGCUGGAAAAGAAGUUGGCAUCUGAACAUGUACCAGAGGAGGAACAGAUCAAUUUGUUGAAGGAUUUGGAGCGCACAGAGACUCAAUACAUUCGCCUUAAAAGGCACAAGAUUUGUGUCGAUGAUUUUGACCUUUUGGCCAUAAUUGGGAGAGGGGCCUUUGGAGAGGUUAGACUGUGCCGGGAGAAGAAAUCUGGCAACAUUUAUGCCAUGAAAAAGUUGAAGAAGUCAGAAAUGCUCAGUAGGGGGCAGGUUGAACAUGUUAGAGCUGAAAGGAAUUUGCUUGCAGAGGUUGCCAGUCAUUGCAUUGUGAAACUUUACUAUUCCUUUCAAGAUGCUGAAUACUUGUAUCUAGUCAUGGAAUAUUUACCUGGUGGUGACAUGAUGACUUUGCUUAUCAGAGAAGAGUCUUUGACUGAAACUGUCGCUAGAUUUUACAUUGCACAAUGUGUUCUGGCCAUAGAAUCUAUUCACAAACAUAACUACAUUCACAGAGACAUAAAACCAGACAAUCUUCUGUUAGACAAAAAUGGUCACAUGAAGCUUUCUGAUUUUGGUCUUUGCAAGCCUCUUGAUUGCUCAAAUUUAUCUUCCAUAAAUGAAAAUGAAGUGCUUGAUGAUGAGAACCUGCAUGAGACAAUGGAUAUUGAUGAAUCCUUCCCAGAAACCAAAAAUGGGAGGCGCUGGAAAAGCCCGCUUGAGCAACUUCAGCAUUGGCAGAUAAACAGGAGAAAAUUGGCAUUUUCGACAGUCGGAACUCCAGAUUACAUCGCUCCAGAGGUAUUGUUGAAGAAAGGAUACGGCAUGGAAUGUGACUGGUGGUCACUUGGUGCGAUAAUGUAUGAGAUGCUGGUUGGUUAUCCUCCAUUUUACUCUGAUGAUCCAGUCACAACAUGCAGAAAGAUUGUACAUUGGAAAAAUCACUUGAAAUUUCCUGUUGAGGCAAGGUUGACACCUGAAGCAAAGGAUCUGAUCAGUAGGUUCCUUUGCGAUGUUGAAAAUAGACUUUGUAGAGCAGACCAAAUUAAGGCUCAUCCUUGGUUUAGAGAUAUCGCAUGGGACAGACUUUACGAGACUGAGGCAGCAUUUAAACCAGAGGUCAAUGAUGAACUUGAUACUCAAAACUUUAUGAAGUAUGAUGAGGUGGAUCCACCAGCACCUGGAAGAACUGGAUCUGGACCAAUGAGAAAGACGUUGUUGACUCCUAAAGAUCUCAGUUUUGUUGGCUACACGUACAAGAAUUUUGAGGCUGUCAAAGGGUUGCAUCAUUCAUCUGAUCUAAAGAGAAGUACAUCACUGAACCGGACAUCUGUUGACUCUUCUCAAAGUGAUUCUGUACUGGACUACUCCACUAAGUAUUCCUCGUACGACAUGGAAGCUCAGGUACUUGCUGCAUCAGAGGAUGUCAUGUCAGAGUGACUCGUAGCAUCUAGUAUGACAGGCGGACAGAGCCCUUCUAGGAACAUGCUGGGCACACCUGCUUGUUUUUUCCGAUAACCAAGAUUCAAUACAACAGUCGCCAAAAUGCUUUUCGUUUGGAACAAAACAAACCGCCAGACUAAUGCAAAGAGAGAUUUAUAAGAGGCGGGAACUGACGAGGCGGCUGAGUUCCAAAUUGUUCGCGUGUUGCCACAUAUUUUAACGUUUUCAUUUGAAUUCCUAUGAUUAGUUUGACAUAUAGCGAUCUAAGCGUCCUUGUUUUAUGCAAGUCCUCCAUUGCAUGACAUGGUUAGAUAGGAAGAGUGACAUUCGAAACAAACAUCAAACAUUGUUUCUUGUCACGUUGUAAUGGUCGGAUGGCACAGCCUAUCGCGAGUUAAAGGGACUCGUGCUUUAUUUAGUUUAGGACAACUUAAAGUCCAAAAUAAUCUGAACUGCCCUUUUACUUCUUGUACGAAUGAAUGAAAAAAGAACAUUUCCCAUGCCAAACUA